rnacentral:lncRNA from 1 species
AUCAUCAUUAAAAAGACACAACUAAAUCAACAUAUUAUGAAUGAUAAUUCUGAAAGUCAGAUGAGCACCAAACGUGUGGCACCUCCAAUGGCCAUCCAAAUUGUUGGACCUAUUAUCAUCCAACUUAAUGGGAGGCUGUGAUCUAGUUAUCACCAUAACUAUUUUAUUUUUAGAGACCUAAUAAUUUUAGAGGAUUUAAGUAGGUGAAAUGAAAGAUGAGAUAAG